AGCCCCCUAGUAUAAAUUCAAAGAUAGUACAUCCCUCUGUUAAAGGGAAGAGUCGCGGGGUUUA
rnacentral:tRNA from 1 species